rnacentral:lncRNA from 1 species
CGCUGUCAAUUUGUGUUAAAAUUUUAACGUCGAUAUCAAUAAAUAUUUCAUUGUUUACGAGAAAUAUGCAAUUUACUAUCAUUGUUAUAAAUCCUAAAUAUGGCCAAUUAUAUUAUAGUUCAAAACAAGAGGCUGUCACAACGACAGCAAACCGGAUUUAUUAAUAUUCAUUUGUGUCCUGGCAAUAUCACAAGAACCAUUACUGAUGAAUGGUGAAAGUGAAAAUCAUCAAUAUCAAAUUUGACCUCCAUUUUGUCAUCAGUAUCAAACAUCUUAAAAUUUGAAAAGCUUAGAUGAUGGUUCAUGAGUAAAUGCAACAACGUGAAUGGAAACGCCAUUUCACAAUCUUUCAAGAACCAUAACUCCUGAACGGUAAAAGUCAAAAUCGUCAUUAUUGAAC